ensembl:lncRNA
AUUUUGUUUCUAUAUGUUCUCCCCUCACAGGUUUCUCUUCAUAAAGCAAUGCUGUUGAUGCACAAUUUUUAAAAACCCAAAAUGAACUAUACUGGAUAUUUUUUGUUUGCCCUCCACUUCCACCCUUCACCCUUUUCCAGCCUGCUCUUGGCUGUGAGAUGCUGGCUGUGUUCUGUAUUUGCUACAUCCAUAGGUUUCUUACUCUGUGAAGUCUGUUUUAGCCAAAGAGGGGGAGUAGCCAGCUGCCUAUCACCAUGCAGCCCUGUGGAGAAAGGCCUUUGAACUCUGGCCCAGAUGUGAGCUUGGAGGUGAAGCCUGCUCCAGGAUGGCCUCUAGAGACUGCACUGCCCUGAGCUUUGACCUCAGCUCCAGGGGAGAUCUUGAGCCAGAGCCACCAGCUCAGCCACUAGACUCCUGAUCCACCGGACCCAGCAGGCAAUAAAUGCCUGCUGUUUUAAGACAUUGUCUGCUAUAAUUGGUCUAAUUUGUUACACGGCAGUAGAGAAUUAGGUUUCUCACACAACACUGACUCCAGUGGGAAUACAUGCUUCGCAGAAAUGAACUCCUGUCCAUGGAUUUCACUGAGCUACCAGCUGCCCACAGAGGCUGAAUUAUGGUGCCAGAUGCAGACAGCAGCUGGCAAGGUCAGGUGUGUCCUGUGACACAGCUUGUGCCUUUUAUAAACCAGCAGUGGCCCCUCCCGUGACCAGAGUGUACAGUUCUGGGAGAAUGGCCCUCACUGUCACAGGGGACUGCCCAUCCAUGAGGUUUUCUGCACUUUAGACUUCUUGGGGAAAAACAGCAGGUGGCUGCUUCAAGCGUAAUAGCUGUCAUUAAUGUUUGAAUAUAUAUUAAUUAGCCACUUCAAUUUAGCUCAGUUGCUCAGUAUUGUCCGACUCUUUGCGACCCCAUGGACUGCAGCACACCAGGCGUCCCUGUCUAUCACCAACUCCCAGAGUUUACAAACUCAUGUCCAUUGAGUUUAUGAUGCCAUCCAACCAUCUCAUCCUCUGUCG